UCAAAACAGACACACUCGUUUGGAAGGAAGAUUGCUACAAACCGUACUUAAAAGCAGCUCAAAAGAAAAAGAACUUUAUAGAAUCAGAUUGUGUCGGAUACGAAGACACGGUACUUGCAAAAAAUAGCGUGCAUUAGAAAUGUGGACCCGUAUGAAAUAACGGCAGUGGAGCAGAAACCCGAAGACCAACCGCUAUUGACGUAGCCUGAUAUAUUUUCGUACCUGUGGAGUCAGCGCAUAAACGGCGAACCAGUUUCGCAAUUAUAAAUCUCUGGAGGCGCACAUCCGAUUAACCAAUGGUUGGGUACAAGAUUUGGCUAUUUUUAGACUCCACGUUGUGAAUACGUCCUCAUUCAAACAAAGGGGUUGGAACCAGCUAUUAAAAUGGUCAUCACCAGACCAAGGCUCAAUCGAGUCAUGGAAGGAGGAAUCAGAAAUAAACUGCACAACGACUUGGCUGGUGACCCACUUCACAUCUCCUUGCUAAACACUGGAGAAUCAUGCAAAGACUUUGAUGUAACAGAUUGACCUAUAACAGCGACCAUGGGCAUCAGUGAUGAGAAGACCUGUGUUGAGACAGCAUUGUGAGUACAGGCUGGACCCCACAGAGUGUGUGCAUGUCUGCAGUGAGGAUGAACUCUUCCACCUUGAAAGUACAGACGACAUGGCAAAUAAGAUUGAGACAGCAACAGGAGAACAGGCAGCUGACCAGGAGUGGCAUCAGCUCCACAGGCCAAGAUUACAUCUUCAUAUUUAAGAGGUUUGUUAUAUAAAGGGCGUGAAACUGUGCAGAGAGAAUCCUCAAAGGAACGUGACAGACUGCAGAUGUGAGCACAGGGACAGACAUGGAGUUUAACGCAGCUGGAGAAAACUGCAAAUUGAAAAACUAACUAUAGGCCUCAUGGCCUCGUUGUCCACCCUGACGCUCCCUGGCUUGGUUCCUCACCAGAUGGGUUGAUCUUUGAUCCAUCUGCACUGCCACCGUUUGGACUGCUUGAGAUAAGGUGUCUAUGUUGACACAAAGUUAACAGCAGCAUCAGAGAGAGCGUGGACUGGUGUUACUUUCGUGUUCACACGCUGAUGCACUUCUCUCU